GAAGGAGAAUUCCAAAGGGAUCGCAUUGAUCUCCCUUUUCCUCUUUGCCUUCUUUCUCCACCUAUGGUUUUAGGAGAUCAUGCGAUUCCUUAGGAAUUUUCCGU
rnacentral:pre_miRNA from 1 species